rnacentral:rRNA from 1 species
GACGUAGGGCGCGAGCGUUGUCCGGAUUAUUGGGCGUAAAGAGCGCGUAGGCGGCCAGACAGUCCGGUGUGAAAGUCACAGGCUCAACCUGGUGAAUGCCGCUGGAAACUUUCGGCUAGAGUCCGGAAGGGGCGAGUGGAAUCCCUGGUGUAGCGGUGAAAUGCGCAGAUAUCAGGAGGAACACCGGUGGCGAAGGCGGAUCUCUGGGCCAUUACUGACGCUGAGGAGCGAAAGCGUGGGGAGCGAACAGG